UACGUAGGGAGCGAGCGUUGUCCGAAUUUACUGGGCGUAAAGCGCGCGUAGGCGGGUUUGCAAGUCGGAGGUGAAAUGCUGUGGCUCAACCACAUGCAGUGCCUCCGAUACUUCAAGUCUUGAGUGCGGUAGGGAGAAGUGGAAUGGCUGGUGUAGCGGUGAAAUGCGUAGAUAUCAGGAGGAACACCGGUGGCGAAGGCGCACACCUGGCCCGAUACUGACGCUGAGGCGCGAAAGCUAGGGGAGCAAACGGG
rnacentral:rRNA from 1 species